rnacentral:rRNA from 1 species
UACAGAGGUCUCGAGCGUUAGGCGGAAUCACUGGGCUUAAAGCGUGUGUAGGCGGAUCGGUAAGUACCUUGUGAAAUCCCACAGCUUAACUGUGGAACUGCUUGGUAUACUGCCAGUCUUGAGCCAGCUAGGGGCUACCGGAACAAAUGGUGGAGCGGUGAAAUGCGUAGAUAUCAUUUGGAACGCCAAUGGUGAAAACAGGUAGCUGGGGCUGUGCUGACCGCUGAGACACGAAAGCCAGGGGAGCGAACGGG